GUGUCAGCAGCCGCGGUAAUACGGAGGGAGCUAGCGUUGUUCGGAAUUACUGGGCGUAAAGCGUACGUAGGCGGCUAUUCAAGUCAGGGGUGAAAGCCUGGAGCUCAACUCCAGAACUGCCCUUGAAACUAGAUAGCUAGAAUCUUGGAGAGGUGAGUGGAAUUCCGAGUGUAGAGGUGAAAUUCGUAGAUAUUCGGAAGAACACCAGUGGCGAAGGCGACUCACUGGACAAGUAUUGACGCUGAGGUACGAAAGCGUGGGGAGCAAACAGGAUUAGAUACCCUGGUAGUCC
rnacentral:rRNA from 1 species